GAUGAAGAACGUAGUGAAAUGCGAUAAGUAAUGUGAAUUGCAGAAUUCAGUGAAUCAUCGAAUCUUUGAACGCACAUUGCGCCCGCGAGUAUUCUCGCGGGCAUGCCUGUCCGAGCGUCAUUUCAACCCUCAGGGCCCGCCUGCUUGCAGGCGCGGCGCUGGCGUUGGGGAUCGGCCCUAACCGGUCGUCCCCCAAAUACAGUGGCGGUCUCGCUGCAGCCUCCCCUGCGUAGUAGCAACACUCGCAUGCGGAGCGCGGCGCGGCCACGCCGUAAAACCCCCGACUUUCUGAACGUUGACCUCGGAUCAGGUAGGAAUACCCGCUGAACUUAAGCAUAUCAAUAAGCGGAGGA
rnacentral:misc_RNA from 1 species